GACGAACCGUACGAACGUUAUUCGGAAUCACUGGGCUUAAAGGGUGCGUAGGCGGCCUGAUAAGUCGGGUGUGAAAGCCCUGGGCUCAACCCAGGAAGUGCACUCGAAACUGUCAGGCUUGAAUAUGGAAGAGGGUCGCGGAAUUCCCGGUGUAGAGGUGAAAUUCGUAGAUAUCGGGAGGAACACCAGUGGCGAAGGCGGCGACCUGGGCCAAUAUUGACGCUGAGGUGCGAAAACGUGGGGAGCAAACAGG
rnacentral:rRNA from 1 species